AUUCUUUUGUGGUUCAUAAUUAUGAUGAUUAGGUUUUCACGUUUGUGUGUGAGAUGCACCUCCCUCAAACUUUGUUAUGAUGUGGGCACAUUCCUUGCCUGACA